rnacentral:misc_RNA from 1 species
AAGUCGUAACAAGGUUUCCGUUGGUGAACCUGCGGAAGGAUCAUUAACGCGUUGGAUUGCUCCUCACGCCCUGCACGCCUCGCAAUCCCUGGUAAAUCAUUGUCUGAACAGAUUUUGAGUCAGGGACUUCUGACGUGACGCGAAGAAUGGUAAUGAUGCGUGGGAUGUUUGCGACGUAGCAAAUCACUUGGCUCCCCAAGCAACCAUGUUUCUAAAAGCGGCUCAUGGAAGCGUAAGGAGACGCUGUAACGUUUUGCUGUAGGCCAACACGGCCGGCAAUCCAAGUGGUUGUACUUCGGUACCCUCACAUCGGCACACCACCGAUGAUAUGUCAAUUUCGCGAAUGGACUAAAAGCCUCGCACCAAAAACCGAACAACUGUUAACAAUGGAUAUCUUGGUUCUC